rnacentral:pre_miRNA from 1 species
AUAAGGUAGAGAAAUUGUUGUCUUCCACACUAUUCAGACAUCAGUUUAACUAUCUUUCAA